GGCCUGAGGAGGCUGGACCACUUUAACAAGGUCACAAAGAGUUUCUGCUCACGCUAGGGGAGCACCCCCAAAUCCCUCGGGACCACUGGGGAGCCUGAGCCAGAGCUCCCCCCGCACAGAGGCGGCAGCGCCCAGCUCGCCGAGGUCAGGCCUGCGAGCAGGUCUGCUGGCCCCAGGGCGCCGGCCGCGGCGCCAAGACCGAAGUCAGGCCGCCGCAUCUGCCCAGCGUUCCACCAAGGGCCUUACCGGGUCGCCAGAACUUCACCGGUCCCACGGGCGCAGCCAUGUUGGGGUAAAAGGUCACGAGGCUAGCUCCACCCCACCGUCGCGCGCUAGGCCCCCAGGGCCCGGAGGGCGUGGCCCCCGAAGAGCCGCUGCCCAGACGGAUCGCGCCGUGUGACGGCCACGCCCCCACAGCUACCGCCCCCGUCUGAGCCACGUGACCCACUUCCAGGCUCCGGCGAGCGCACCGGCCCCGCCCCCGAGCCCACGUGACCCUGCUCAGCCAUUUUGGAGAAAAGGGCGCGCUCCUCCGCCUACCUCUUGAGCGUGGAGGGUAGAUGCUUCAGGUGACCUUUUACGAGCGUGGCGUGUCCUGGAUGGCGGCCGCACACUUAGGAAGAACGGGCUUUGGGAGAGGACCGCUGGCCCGAGAGUGGAACCUUGCACGCACUGGGCGUUGAAGCAGUGCUUUCUGGAUUAAAUACGAAAUACUGAUGUCACAAGCUACCUCAACUUGUCGACUUCUGUUUUAUUCUCAAUUUCAAAUUGAAGGGUAAUAAUAGGAACUACCUCGUGGGUUGUAUUUGUCAGUAAAUAUUGCGCGCCUGCUGUGGGCCCAGGUAGUGCGGCACAGUGCCCCAAAUAAAACAAUGCGAAAUGAUAUGGAAGUCUUCAGGGACCUUGAGGGCAAAACGGAAAAACGGACUGGGGGUGGGGUGGAGCGAAUGGGUUGGCAGAAGAGACUGAAAAUGGGUAGAUCAAUUAAGGUAGUCCACCAACUCAGUGCUUCCUCCAAUUUGAUACCCUUGAGUCAAAUGCUUGUUAAAAACACAGAUUCUAGGCCUUGAUCCAAUUCUGAAU
rnacentral:lncRNA from 10 species